rnacentral:tRNA from 1 species
ACUCCUAUAACUCAGUUGGUAGAGUGUUGGUCUUAUGAGCCAAAAGUCGAGGGUUCGAACCCCUCUAGGAGUA